UGGAGCACCGCCAGGACUUAUUUUUUGUAAGCCUAGUACUUAUACUAUCAGUCUCUUUUGCCGAACCGCUAAAUUAUGGGGACGUAAACACACCAGCAUCGGGUGUCAAGGGAUGGUGGGGAGACAAACAC